UUUUAGGUUAAAUCUUUUACUUUUUAUAAAAAUAGUUUUAUAAUAUUACAAAUGUUUUAAUAAAUAAUGAUAUAUAAAAAUAUUUACUAUUAAAAUAGAAAAAUUUUAACAAAACAGGGAUAGACGCCUAUUAUGAUAUUUUAAUUUAGGGUAGUUUAGUAAACCGAAAAUAGUUGGCAGUAAAAUAAUCACAUUAAGGAAUUUUAAAAAAUAAAUUGAUAGUCCUCAAUUUUAUUUACUUUAAAAAAUUUUUUGUGUGGCUGUUUAACAACAAUUUGAAAAUUUUAGUUUAAGUCAGGUUGUACAUUAUUAAUAUUUAAAGGAAUUUUUGAAAUGUAUUUAAAUUUUUAAUUUUUUUUGUAAAUAAUAUAAUACUUAAUAGUAAUCAAUAAGAAAAUAAAUUAGUUCUAUUUUAAGUUCAUAUCGUCCGUCGCUCUCUUUU
rnacentral:rRNA from 1 species